UGUACCCUGCGCAGGAUGCAACCAACAAGGUCAAUCAAGGGGGCUGCCGGGGGAGACUCCUGUCUCCCCGACGUCUUCUCCUGUCACCCAGACCCACAGCUCAGCCUCCAGCAUCUGGGACCUCUGAGGCUCCACCAUCAUCAUCAUCUCUGUCCCUGUCAUCAUGUCACCCAGUGUGUUUUAGUGACAGGGAGGAAAGAGGCCCAUGGAUCACAUCCUGAGGGCUCCCAGUCGGAAGCUGACGCAAUCAUCCAUCCAAGAUAUAAAUGAUGCAAAAGCCAGGAAAACCACAUGGCCUAGAAGGGGUUAGCACCUCACUGCACCCUUCCUUUCCCCAGAUUGUCCCAGUUCCCCUUCCGUGUGGGGUACACUAGUAACCCCAGAGAGCUGCGUCUCCCCCUGCAGAACUGCCCAUGGUGGGUGAGACAGGCUUGACUCCCGUGGCCUCAGAGUGCACAGGCCCAUCCCUGAGGAGUGAUUUUAAGGGAGCCCAAGGCUCUAAGGAAGCAAGGUCAGAAGCCAGGAGACCCACGGGAGGCUUCCGUAGUCAUCCAGUGACUCAUCUGUUGGCCAGGCGUGGGGCACCGGAGCCUGGACCAGGCUGCGCAGGAAGGUGGUGAGAAGUGAGCGGCCAGGGGCAGGAUACAGUCUGCAGUCAGAGAUGACCAGAUGCAUCUCUUUGCCCAAUGCCCAGGCCCCCGGAGCACAGCCUGAGCCCAGGUGGGAGGAAUCCUUCAAACAGCUCCUGAAGUGUGGCCUUUACCCUAACUCCCUUUGUGGGCACCGGAGUUGGCUUCCCCCAGCUGAGGCUUUGCAGCGCUCAGCCCCUGGGUCCUCAGCCCCACGGUACACCCACUCCCCGAGGGGUGAUUCACUCCUGGAGCAUAAUCAGGAGAAAUUAGACUCCACAAAGAAAGACAAUUGGCAGUCGAGUUCCUGGCCCUCCAGCCUGACACGGUGGUUUACCCUGAAGACUAAUUAUCUGGCCGCUUACGGAGGCCUUGGUGGCCCUGUGCUAUUUGGGGUGCUGGCUUCCAGCCGGUGGUGAAAUGCACACAGCUUCCACUCCCCCGCCACCCGCAUCGCUCAUGGCUCUGAGGCUCUGAGCAGACUCACAGUCCCCUCUGAGUCACUGCAGGCCUGGGCUUCCCAAGGGCUUCGGCCCAGGGGCUCAUUCCAGACACACCCUACCCUGACGCCCCCUGGAUCUGGGCCUAGGAUGGACCUGAUGAGGCUCCAUAGUGGGUCCCCAGUCCUUUCGAGGAGCCUGAAAUUCCACCACGAGAUUUAGCCAGUACAACUAUUUCUGGAAAGGCUCUGAUCACCUGGGCAAGGUGUCUUGUCUCCAUGGCUCCCCGGGCCCACGCUUCCUCUGUUCUAGCCCAUGCUGUGCUUUCUUGUGCAGGAAG